ensembl:lncRNA
AGAGAAAACAUAGAACCACCACUGGGAUUGGUGAUUCUGUGGCUCUUGGAGACUCUGCAUCGCGUCGGAACACCAUGUGGUAUAGAUCAUUACAUCUUGGUACAUGGAGCACUGAUGAGUAGAAGCAGUCCCAUCAGAAGACCAAAGUGCGGCUACGGUAAUCAAGGUUCUGACUAGAGAAGUCAUGGCAAGGUUUGGAAUUCCGUCACAAAUUAGCUCAGGCGACAGAGCAGCGUUUAGUCAGAAAACACUCAAACAAGUGAUUUAACAUCUGCAUGUCAAACAAAGAUUAGGCUGUGUCUACAUUCCUCAAACCACAAGGUAUGGUGGAGAGAGGAAUCGGACGCUUAAGACAAAGAUGAACAAAAUUAAAUUAGAGUACUAAAUUAAAGGACUAAUGCAUUACGACUGACACUAAUGAGUUAUCGCAUGAAAACUAACAGAACGACGCAUCUAACCCCGCAUGAAAUGUUUACGGGUCGACCCAUGCCUUCACCUGUCAUUCGAGGGCCUCAUAAAGGACCUCCAUUAGAACAAUUGGAAACUGAAUUAAGACGUUAUAUGGGACAACUAACUGGCAUACACAGGCUUAUUUUUCAACAAGAGAAAGGCAGAGUUCCAGAGUUGGAGAAGGAGCCACCAAGGGGGGGUGGAGCCGGGUGACCACGAGCCUAGGCGAGAAGGACCAUACAAAGUCACCAGCGCAACACCAACAGCCAUCCAAGUGGAAGGAAGUGCCACGUGGUAUCAUCUCAACCACUGCACAAAAGCUGCUCAACCCAAAGCCAGAGACGACCGUGAGGAGGAGGAGCCAGACGCAGACACACCUGGGGCUGACCAGCUGCCCCAGGACCAGAUCCAGUCGAGCCAAGAGAUACAACAGCAUGAUGAUGCUGAAAACGGGGAGCCUGUUUCUGAUCCUUUUACGGGUUGUGCCAGAUUCCGCUGGCACAAGCACAGACCCCGAGGAAGGAUGAAACCACGGGGACAACACAAACCUGGAAGGGCCAGGAAUUAGGGGGUGGUAGGCCUACUGAAGAAAGCCAGAGAGGAACACAGGAUAAUCCGGCCCAAAAUCAUUCAGGACUGGUUGACAACAAAGGGAAAACAGUCUUGUAUGCUCACAUACCACCGCAAGACCAAGUCAAUGACUUUGUGUUUUACUGUUAUGUCGGAUGACCAACACCUAUGUGCAUUAACCCUCCGCCAGAAUUAUGAACAUGCACAUAGGAAAGAUCGGUGUAAAUUACAUAUCCAAUUUGAUUCAAUGAAAUGGUGUCUAAUAGUAACGUCAGGAAGAACAUGGGACUACAACGGAAAGUAUCAAUUGAACGUGAGAGAAUUCAUAUUUUUUAAAGCAGUGUCAGACAGAACGUUUAAUUUUACAUUAGAAGCAGAAGAUCCUUGUGUAAUCAAAAAUCAACCGGGUAAGGUAGUUGAGAUUGAUCAAAGCAAUCCACUAAAAUCUUCAGAUAAUGAUAAAAUAAAUAUAACCACUGCCACCGAUAAAGUAGAUCAACCUCCGGUUAGAGAUAAUGGGAUAAAUUCGUUGGUAACCACUAAGAGUUUAAAUUCAACUCUAGAUGCAAGUAAGACUAAUGAAACUUCUAUUAGAGAGGAUACAACAAUAUUAGCAAUCACUAAUGUAACUUCUAUUGGAGAGGCAACCACUAACGUAACUCCAACUAGAGAAAUAACAACAGUCAUGGGUGAUCUAAUAAUAAAACUAACAACGAAUGGUACAGCAGCGACUGCUCAGGGUGAAAUAAUACAGACAACAGUACUAUCAAAAGAAGAGAUGGCCCUCAUGGUGACUGGCAUAGAGGAGUCGGGGGAGUGGGGGAGGAUGCUCUACGGGGAGAUAGAUUGGAGUGACACUAGAAAGGAGACCGGAAUGUGAGAAUCGGACAUCAGAAGGAGGUCCUAUUCUCUCCAUGGGAACCACAACCAUUUCAGACAGUGUGAACAAAUGGACAUUUGGACUAAUGGGUUCCAGGGCAUGGUGGCUGCGAACAGAAGCAACUACGGUGCCCUAAACCCACCACAUUAUAUAGUAUACCAGUACAUGACGAUAAUCAGAGCCAUCCAAAUCCAUGCAAGCUUCUUGACAAUUUUAGUUUUUAAUUUCUAUUAUUUACUUAUUUUUUGAAAUAUCAUUUUUGAGUUUCAUAUUUUUAUGUCAUAUAUUCUGAAAUGCUAAUUUUCAAUGUAUGCUGAAAAUACUGUGUUAUGUGUGAAUUCUAGUUAGACAUGUUAGACAUUUGAUAAGAUCUUUUUUUGCCUUAAACCAGGUUGAGAUUCCUGACCAUGUUUAAAGGUUUUUUAAUGAUGAUCAAAUGUAGUGCAAAAUAUGACCCAAACGACUGUUAUGUUUUUGUUGUGAUCUUAGUAGUCACAAAGGGGGGGAUGUGUGGUAGAAAUUAGUGAGUAUAUUUUAUGGUAAACCAUGAUUAUUAAUAGGUUUUAUAUUUUUAAUUGUGGAAAGCAUUGUGCUUGCAGAAUCUGAGUUCAGAACAGAUGGUAAGCAGAAAUGUCCUGGGAACUGCGGGGUCAAGUCAUGUUGACCUCACCCUGUCAGCCCUGGGUCAUUUUGGCUAACGAGGUCAAUCCAUGCUGACCUCAGACCAGGGCGCGGUUGAUAACAUGCUGAGACGAAGAUUGACUGGGCGGAAACCCCAUUGGAACAAAGGGAACCUCCAUUGUAACAAAGAAAUUCUUGUAUGUGUGUAUGUGCAUAAAGAGGAGCUGGAGUCUAUGUUCGCCAGUGACUCUGCAAACCCACUCAGGC